GGGUAGUUUGACUGGGGCGGUCUCCUCCUAAAGAGUAACGGAGGAGCACGAAGGUUGGCUAAUCCUGGUCGGACAUCAGGAGGUUAGUGCAAUGGCAUAAGCCAGCUUGACUGCGAGCGUGACGGCGCGAGCAGGUGCGAAAGCAGGUCAUAGUGAUCCGGUGGUUCUGAAUGGAAGGGCCAUCGCUCAACGGAUAAAAGGUACUCCGGGGAUAACAGGCUGAUACCGCCCAAGAGUUCAUAUCGACGGCGGUGUUUGGCACCUCGAUGUCGGCUCAUCACAUCCUGGGGCUGAAGUAGGUCCCAAGGGUAUGGCUGUUCGCCAUUUAAAGUGGUACGCGAGCUGGGUUUAGAACGUCGUGAGACAGUUCGGUCCCUAUCUGCCGUGGGCGCUGGAAGAUUGAGGGGGGCUGCUCCUAGUACGAGAGGACCGGAGUGGACGCAUCACUGGUGUUCGGGUUGUCAUGCCAAUGGCACUGCCCGGUAGCUACAUGCGGAAGAGAUAAGUGCUGAAAG
rnacentral:rRNA from 1 species